rnacentral:rRNA from 1 species
AACGCUGGCGGCGUGCCUAAUACAUGCAAGUCGAGCGAAUGGAUUGAGAGCUUGCUCUCAAGAAGUUAGCGGCGGACGGGUGAGUAACACGUGGGUAACCUGCCCAUAAGACUGGGAUAACUCCGGGAAACCGGGGCUAAUACCGGAUAACAUUUUGAACUGCAUGGUUCGAAAUUGAAAGGCGGCUUCGGCUGUCACUUAUGGAUGGACCCGCGUCGCAUUAGCUAGUUGGUGAGGUAACGGCUCACCAAGGCAACGAUGCGUAGCCGACCUGAGAGGGUGAUCGGCCACACUGGGACUGAGACACGGCCCAGACUCCUACGGGAGGCAGCAGUAGGGAAUCUUCCGCAAUGGACGAAAGUCUGACGGAGCAACGCCGCGUGAGUGAUGAAGGCUUUCGGGUCGUAAAACUCUGUUGGUAGGGAAGAACAAGUGCUAGUUGAAUAAGCUGGGCACCUUGACGGUACCUAGCC